GAUGCCAGCAGCGCUGCUGCGACGGGUUCUCACCGAUGCGGAGGGAACAACAGUAUUGCUGAGACUCUGAGAUUUGGUGCCUCUCCACGUCUGACAGAAGACUCUGAGGAAAGGCGGGGGCAAGGGCAGAAUUGCUGCAGGAAGGUGCCUGCCUCUAUCAAGUAUUCAUUUAACACAAGCUCCGGCGGAUAUCUGAGAAUCAGCCUGCGCCAAAUCAGGAAGAGCUCAAAACACGUUGUAAAUGUCACAUUACCCAUCACUGAAAGGCAGCCACCCCAGGCAUGGAAGGCAGCAGCUUUCUGACAACUCACAUCCAAGGCUCUGUGACAGCUUAAAAGAGGAGGUGGCUAUGGAUUUGAUACUAUAUUGAAACUGGAGUAUGGUAGAUUCUGAGAGCUGCAAAAUCCGAGGGCUCCAUGUGGAAUGACAGUGGCAACAGAACUAACUCACUUGCAGGCAUUCCUUUCUCCAAGUGUCACAUCUCACCCUAAAGGGGGAACUGCCAUGAGCACAGCACCCCUUUACCCUACACAGAAAAGGGCUCCCUGUACUGCAUUGCCACACCUGGGUUUCUUUGGAGGCCUCCCCUCCAAGCACUGAACUGCCCCAGCCCUGCUUAGCAGGUGAGAUCCCCACUCCAAGGGUACAGCCUGUUUCUGACAAUCAGCUGAUGCAAUUAAGGAGCGAUGCCA